ensembl:misc_RNA Metazoa_SRP Metazoan signal recognition particle RNA
GCACAUGUUUUGUAUCCAUCUUCCAAGCUACUUGGGAGGCUGAGGUGGGAGGAUCACUUGAGUGGAGAAGUUCUGGGCUGUAGUGCGCUAUGCUUAUCAGGUUGUCCUUGGCAUCAAUAUACUGAUCUCCUGGGAGCAGGAGACCACCAAGUUGCAUAAGGAGCAGUGAAUUGGCCCAGAUCAGAAAUAGACCAGGUCAAAAUUCCCACACUGAUCAGUAGUAUGAUUGAGCCACUGCACUGCAACCUGAGCAACAUAGUGUGACUCCAUCUUU